CAUGCUUCAUUGUACAAGCUCCACUCUUGGAGAGAUUGGUUCUUAGUUACGUGGAAAUCAUAUGGAAAACUAAUAUGUCUGCAUUGAAUGAAGAUUGUAUAGUAGUUGGGAAUCAUGAAAAGGUAUUUCAAGGUGGGCACUCAUUCUCAAGGAUAAAAGAAUUGUGCUUGGUGAAUUUAUUUGAAAUGCAGAUUAUAUGGAACGAUUUUGCUCAAGUUGUAACCCUUGAGAACCUUACAACACUACUUUUGAUAGAUUGCAAGAAGUUAAGAUAUAUAUUUUCACCUACGACGGCUCGUAGUUUAUCA